CUUAUUAGUGCCCUUUCACUUCUACCAGCAAUCCCACCCUCUUGAACUGUUUGUAGCAUAGUUUAGUACAGAGGUCUCCCAUGAAAAUGCCUACACAAGACCAGGCAGAUGAUAUAAAUAUGUUUUGUGGGCCGGGUGGGGCCUGUGGUGAACUGGAGAGGAAAUGCUGCAUUUGGGAGGAGGAGGGGCAGUCACUGAGCUCCACGUGAGCCUUGCCAUUUGGAAAUGUGGCCCAGUGUUGCCAGAUCUUUAAAUUUUUCAAGGGAAGCUGAAAAUUUGGAUGUUUUUGUGAAAUCUCCAAUUUUUAAGUGUAGGAUGCUUAUUCAAAAAAUUGUAUAAAACACUGUGGGGUAAAUAAAAACAAAGAACUCCAUACCCAAACCUAGGUCUGUGGGCUGGCUAAGAUUGCAACCUCGAGGACAGUGGAAAGCACUUUGGAUCAAGGGGCAGGAGACCUAGAUUCUCCUGAUUCUACCACAAACCAGCAGCAUGACUUUGGCAGGUCAUUUUACUUACUUGUGCCUUACUUUCUUCAUCUGAAAAUCACAGGGGUGAAGCCAGAUGAUCUCCUUGGUGCUUUUUAGCUCUAAAAUGCAUUCCCUUGACAAUUUAGAAUGGUCCUCCCUCCCAACCAAUUUUCACAAAAUUACAAAAAGCAUUAGGGAUACCUACAGGGGGCAAUAGAUGUUUUAUUGACUGUGUUGGCUAAAGGGGUCUCUUCUACUUCUAGUAGCCUUGAGCAUUUUUCUUUUUUUCUUUUUUUAAUUUUUUUGAGACAGGGUCUCGCUCUGUCACCCAGGCUGGAGGGCAGUGUUGCUAUCACAGUUCACUACAGCCUCCAUCUUCUGGGCUCAAGCGAUCAUCCUACCUCAGCCUCUUAAGUAGCUUGGACCAUAGGCACACACUACCACGCCUGGCUAUUUUCUUUCUUUUUUGGGGGGGCCGGUAGAGAUGGGGGGGACUCCCUAUGUUGCCCAGGCUAGUCUUGAACUCCCAGUCUCAAGUGAUCCUCCUGCCUUGGCCUACCAAGGUGCUGGGAUUACAGGUGUGAGCCACUGUGCCCAGCCUCCUUGAGCAUUUUUCUAUCACCUCCUCCCACUUCUUGCCUAUCUACUCUCCCUCCGUACCAUGUUUUUGAGAUCAUUCCACAUGCUCUGGAACUCCAGCUUGCUUUCAUACUCAGAAUCUAUAUAGUUCUGCUCCAUGGCCAUGAAGAUAUCUUGCAGAUAGUGAAUCUCUUUCUCAUGUUGGUCAAUAAUUGUCUUCCUGUAGGAGACAAGACACUGUCCCUGCUCUGAGGGAUACAGGAUAUUGACCAAUAAUGACAAUUCAAAGCAGUAUGUAAUCUAUGUGAAUGGUACAAACUCUUAGGUACUGAUGGAGAAAAGAGAGAGGGAAGGCUUUACUCUUUUUAGGGCUAGAAAGAAUGAGUAAGGUUAUUUUAUUUUGAUUUCUGAAUGGGUAAUACAUUCAUGUGAUACAAAAAAAGUACAAAAGGUUACAGUGAGAAGUCUCUCUCCCAUCCCUGUUCCCUGCCAAAUGGGUAGGAUUUUGAUAGUUGAAAGUGGGUAGUUGGUCCCUCUCCCUCUCCCUCUCCCUCUCCCCAUGGUCUCCCUCUCCCCAUGGUCUCCCUCUCCCUCUCUUUCCACGGUCUCCCUCUCAUGCCGAGCCGAAGCUGGACUAUACUGCUGCCAUCUCGGCUCACUGCAACCUCCCUGCCUGAUUCUCCUGCCUCAGCCUGCCGAGUGCCUGCGAUUGCAGGCGCGCGCCUCCACGCCUGACUGGUUUUCGUAUUUUUUUGGUGGAGACGGG
rnacentral:lncRNA from 1 species